rnacentral:rRNA from 1 species
UACGAAGGGGGCUAGCGUUGCUCGGAAUCACUGGGCGUAAAGGGUGCGUAGGCGGGUCUUUAAGUCAGGGGUGAAAUCCUGGAGCUCAACUCCAGAACUGCCUUUGAUACUGCUGGUCUUGAGUCAGGGAGAGGUUGAUGGAAUUCCAGGUGUAGCGGUGAAAUGCGUAGAUAUCUGGAAGAACACCGGUGGCGAAGGCGGUCAACUGGCCCUGAACUGACGCUCAGGCACGAAAGCGUGGGGAUCAAACAGG